rnacentral:rRNA from 1 species
GGAGGCAGCAGUGGGGAAUAUUGCACAAUGGGCGCAAGCCUGAUGCAGCCAUGCCGCGUGUAUGAAGAAGGCCUUCGGGUUGUAAAGUACUUUCAGCGAGGAGGAAGGCGUUAAGGUUAAUAACCUUGGCGAUUGACGUUACUCGCAGAAGAAGCACCGGCUAACUCCGUGCCAGCAGCCGCGGUAAUACGGAGGGUGCAAGCGUUAAUCGGAAUUACUGGGCGUAAAGCGCACGCAGGCGGUUUGUUAAGUCAGAU